rnacentral:rRNA from 1 species
AAAUGAAUUGACGGGGGCCCGCACAAGCAGCGGAGCAUGUGGUUUAAUUCGAAGCAACGCGAAGAACCUUACCAAGGCUUGACAUCCACUUAAAGGUAUGGAAACAUACUGUGUCUUCGGACGAAGUGAGACAGGUGGUGCAUGGUUGUCGUCAGCUCGUGUCGUGAGAUGUUGGGUUAAGUCCCGCAACGAGCGCAACCCUUAUUACCAGUUACCAGCGGGUUAUGCCGGGGACUCUGGUGAGACUGCCGGGGACAACUCGGAGGAAGGUGGGGACGACGUCAAAUCAUCAUGCCCCUUAUGUCUUGGGCUACACACGUGCUACAAUGGCUGCAACAAAGGGAAGCGACAGCGCAAGCUGAAGCGGAUCUCAGAAAAACAGUCCCAGUUCGGAUUGUGGGCUGCAACCCGCCCACAUGAAGUCGGAGUUGCUAGUAAUCGCGGAUCAGAAUGCCGCGGUGAAUACGUUCCCGGGCCUUGUACACACCGCCCGU